rnacentral:rRNA from 1 species
UCAUUUAGAGGAAGGAGAAGUCGUAACAAGGUUUCCGUAGGUGAACCUGCGGAAGGAUCAUUGUCGAGACCUGCGAGGCAGACCGCGAACACGUGCUUAACACCGCCGACGGCGCGGCGUGGGGCGACCCCCGCCUCGCCGCCGUCCCCCGCCGGCGCUCCCCCUCGGGGGCGCUCCGCGCGGGCUAACGAACCCCGGCGCGGAAUGCGCCAAGGAAAACUGAACGAAGCGUCCGCCCCCCGAGCCCCGUCCGCGGUGCGCGCGGGGGACCGGACGUCUGUCAAAUGUCAAAACGACUCUCGGCAACGGAUAUCUCGGCUCUCGCAUCGAUGAAGAACGUAGCGAAAUGCGAUACUUGGUGUGAAUUGCAGAAUCCCGUGAACCAUCGAGUCUUUGAACGCAAGUUGCGCCCGAAGCCGUCAGGCCGAGGGCACGUCUGCCUGGGCGUCACGCAUCGCGUCGCCCCCCUCCCCGCGCAUUGCGCCGGCGACGGGGGCGGAUACUGGCCUCCCGUGCGCCCCGGCGCGCGGCUGGCCCAAAUGUGAUCCCUCGGCGGCUCGUGCCGCGGCAAGUGGUGGUUGAGCACUCAAUCUCUUGCGCCGCCGUGGCACCGCGCCGUCCGUGCGCGGAUCCCUCAGUGACCCAACGGCGACGGAGCCUCAGGGCGCCGCGCCUUCGACCGCGACCCNAGGUCAGGCGGGAUUACCCGCUGAGUUUAAGCAUU